rnacentral:rRNA from 1 species
CAGCAGCCACGGGAAUACGUAGGUGGCAAGCGUUGUCCGGAAUUAUUGGGCGUAAAGGGCUCGCAGGCGGUUUCUUAAGUCUGAUGUGAAAGCCCCCGGCUCAACCGGGGGGGGUCAUUGGAAACUGGGAAACUUGAGUGCAGAAGAGGAGAGUGGAAUUCCACGUGUAGCGGUGAAAUGCGUAGAGAUGUGGAGGAAUACCAGUGGCGAAGGCGACUCUCUGGUCUGUAACUGACGCUGAGGAGCGAAAGCGUGGGGAGCGAACAGGAUUAGAUACCCGCGUAGUCCCUGUCUCUUAUAC